CCCAGACUCCUACGGGAGGCAGCAGUGGGGAAUCUUCCGCAAUGGGCGAAAGCCUGACGGAGCAACGCCGCGUGAAGGAAGAAGGCUUUCGGGUUGUAAACUUCUUUUCUCAGGGACGAAGAAAGUGACGGUACCUGAGGAAUAAGCCACGGCUAACUACGUGCCAGCAGCCGCGGUAAUACGUAGGUGGCAAGCGUUAUCCGGAUUUACUGGGUGUAAAGGGCGUGUAGGCGGGAAAGCAAGUCAGAUGUGAAAACCACGGGCUCAACCUGUGGCCUGCAUUUGAAACUGUUUUUCUUGAGUACUGGAGAGGCAGACGGAAUUCCUAGUGUAGCGGUGAAAUGCGUAGAUAUUAGGAGGAACACCAGUGGCGAAGGCGGUCUGCUGGACAGCAACUGACGCUGAGGCGCGAAAGCGUGGGGAGCAAACAGGAUUAGAUACCCCCGUAC
rnacentral:rRNA from 1 species